GUUUACGUAAGAAGGAGAGAUGGUUGGCAUCUCCCCUGACAUGGACGGGAAUAGCCUUCAGGCUUACCUGUUACCACACAUUCGGUUAAGGCUAUCCAUUUACGUGGACGUCUAACCCAAUUUUUGU